UACGUAGGGUGCAAGCGUUGUCCGGAAUUAUUGGGCGUAAAGAGCUCGUAGGCGGUUUGUCGCGUCUGCCGUGAAAAGUCCGGGGCUCAACUCCGGAUCUGCGGUGGGUACGGGCAGACUAGAGUGAUGUAGGGGAGACUGGAAUUCCUGGUGUAGCGGUGAAAUGCGCAGAUAUCAGGAGGAACACCGAUGGCGAAGGCAGGUCUCUGGGCAUUAACUGACGCUGAGGAGCGAAAGCAUGGGGAGCGAACAGG
rnacentral:rRNA from 1 species